CCUACGGGUGGCAGCAGUGAGGAAUAUUGGUCAAUGGGCGCGAGCCUGAACCAGCCAAGUAGCGUGAAGGAUGACUGCCCUACGGGUUGUAAACUUCUUUUAUAAAGGAGUAAAGUGAGGCACGUGUGCCUUUUCGAAUGUACUUGAUGAAUAAGGAUCGGCUAACUCCGUGCCAGCAGCCGCGGUAAUACGGAGGAUCCGAGCGUUAUCCGGAUUUAUUGGGUUUAAAGGGAGCGUAGAUGGGUUGUUAAGUCAGUUGUGAAAAUUUGGGGCUCAACCGUAAACUUGCAAUUGAUACUGGCAUUCUUGAGUACAUGUGAGGUAGGCGGAAUUCGUGGUGUAGCGGUGAAAUGCUUAGAUAUCACGAAGAACUCCGAUUGCGAAGGCAGCUUAC
rnacentral:rRNA from 1 species